rnacentral:rRNA from 1 species
CGGCGUGCUUAACACAUGCAAGUCGAACGAUGAAGGUGGGAGCUUGCUCCUACUGGAUUAGUGGCGAACGGGUGAGUAACACGUGAGCAAUCUGCCCCUGACUCUGGGAUAAGCGUUGGAAACGACGUCUAAUACCGGAUACGAGCUGGGACCGCAUGGUCACCAGCUGGAAAGAACUUUGGUCAGGGAUGAGCUCGCGGCCUAUCAGCUUGUUGGUGAGGUAAUGGCUCACCAAGGCGACGACGGGUAGCCGGCCUGAGAGGGUGACCGGCCACACUGGGACUGAGACACGGCCCAGACUCCUACGGGAGGCAGCAGUGGGGAAUAUUGCACAAUGGGCGCAAGCCUGAUGCAGCAACGCCGCGUGAGGGACGAAGGCCUUCGGGUUGUAAACCUCUUUUAGCAGGGAAGAAGCGAAAGUGACGGUACCUGCAGAAAAAGCGCCGG